rnacentral:rRNA from 1 species
AGCGAACGCUGGCGGCAGGCCUAACACAUGCAAGUCGAACGAACCCUUCGGGGUUAGUGGCGGACGGGUGAGUAACACGUGGGAACGCGCCUUUAGGUUCGGAAUAACUCAGGGAAACUUGUGCUAAUACCGAAUGUGCCCUUCGGGGGAAAGAUUUAUCGCCUUUAGAGCGGCCCGCGUCUGAUUAGCUAGUUGGUGAGGUAAUGGCUCACUAAGGCUACGAUCAGUAGCUGGUCUGAGAGGAUGACCAGCCACAUUGGGACUGAGACACGGCCCAAACUCCUACGGGAGGCAGCAGUGGGGAAUCUUGCGCAAUGGGCGAAAGCCUGACGCAGCCAUGCCGCGUGGAUGAUGAAGGUCUUAGGAUUGUAAAAUCCUUUCACCGGUGAAGAUAAUGACUGUAGCCGGAGAAGAAGCCCCGGCUAACUUCGUGCCAGCCGCCGCCGUAAGAC